GACGAACGCUGGCGGCGUGCUUAACACAUGCAAGUCGAGCGGUAAGGCCCUUUCGGGGGUACGACGAGCGGCGAACGGGUGAGUAACACGUGGGUGACCUGCCCUCAGCUCUGGGAGUAGGCCUGGGAAACUGGGUCUAAUACUGGAUAUGACUCCACGGUGCAUGUCGUGGGGUGGAAAGCCUUGUGCGGCUGAGGAUGGGCCCGCGGCCUAUCAGCUUGUUGGUGGGGUGAUGGCCUACCAAGGCGACGACGGGUAGCCGGCCUGAGAGGGCGACCGGCCACACUGGGACUGAGACACGGCCCAGACUCCUACGGGAGGCAGCAGUGGGGAAUCUUGCGCAAUGGGCGAAAGCCUGACGCAGCGACGCCGCGUGAGGGAUGACGGCCU
rnacentral:rRNA from 1 species